ensembl:snRNA U6 U6 spliceosomal RNA
UUGCCCUCACUUCUGCAGCAAUUAUGCUAAAACUGGGGGGAUACAGAGAAGAUAAGGCAUUGCCCCUGCACAAACAUGAAACCCAAAUUCACGAGGCCGUGCCUUUCAUA